rnacentral:rRNA from 1 species
GAUGAACGCUGGCGGCGUGCCUAAUACAUGCAAGUCGAGCGAACAGACGAGGAGCUUGCUCCUCUGACGUUAGCGGCGGACGGGUGAGUAACACGUGGAUAACCUACCUAUAAGACUGGGAUAACUUCGGGAAACCGGAGCUAAUACCGGAUAAUAUAUUGAACCGCAUGGUUCAAUAGUGAAAGACGGUUUUGCUGUCACUUAUAGAUGGAUCCGCGCCGCAUUAGCUAGUUGGUAAGGUAACGGCUUAUCAAGGCGACGAUGCGUAGCCGACCUGAGAGGGUGAUCGGCCACACUGGAACUGAGACACGGUCCAGACUCCUACGGGAGGCAGCAGUAGGGAAUCUUCCGCAAUGGGCGAAAGCCUGACGGAGCAACGCCGCGUGAGUGAUGAAGGUCUUCGGAUCGUAAAACUCUGUUAUUAGGGAAGAACAAAUGUGUAAGUAACUAUGCACGUCUUGACGGUACCUAAUCAGAAAGCCACGGCUAACUACGU